rnacentral:misc_RNA from 1 species
AUUAUUUUGGAGGUGCAAACCGAGGCCUUGGAAAUUAGCUCUCAUGGCUUACGUCGAGCGAGGUGUCGUGAAAUCGAAACGAUCAAUAUGGCGACUGAAAACUAUCACUGAUUUCUUCUGGGCUAUUGUGAAUUUCAUAGGCGUGUUCUUUGCUACUAUGUUCUCGAUGGAAAAGUCAAAUGCUUAUCGGAAAGGGUCGGGUUCUGGAAAGAAAUGGGAUGGUGGCCCAGGAGGGCCUGGAAGUGGACCAUAUGGCGGUGGCCCACGUGGUCCACCUCGAGGCUUAGAUAAUGUUCGAGGAAUUGACCAUAGUUCGUUGCCUGCCUGUGGUUCCUGCUGCGGUUAAUUGCAGCGGCAUCUCUGGUGCUUUUCACUAAUGCUUUUGGUUGGAGAUGUGAUGUAAUAAAAUAUUUAUAUUAAUGGGUCUCUAUAGUGAAAAUUAAUAACAUAUAUGUGUCAAUGAAUCAAGAAGGUUUUUGCAUGUUCUUAAGGCAUAUUUUUUGAAUGCAUAGUUGGCUGCUAGAUAAACAACUUGUGCAAAUAACUUUACAUUUCAAAGCCUGGCCAAUGGUAUGAAGUGGUUUGCUUCUUUGAUGUAUGCAAAUCUUCAUAGAAGGCA